GGGAAUGUAGCUCAGUGGUAGAGUGUUUGCCUGGCAUGUAUGAGACCCUGGGUUCAAUCCCCUACCACCACCA
rnacentral:tRNA from 1 species